CAGUAGCCACGGUAAUACGAAGGGUGCAAGCGUUACUCGGAAUUACUGGGCGUAAAGCGUGCGUAGGUGGUGGUUUAAGUCCGUUGUGAAAGCCCUGGGCUCAACCUGGGAAUUGCAGUGGAUACUGGAUCACUAGAGUGUGGUAGAGGAUAGUGGAAUUUCCGGUGUAGCAGUGAAAUGCGUAGAGAUCGGAAGGAACAUCUGUGGCGAAGGCGACUAUCUGGGCCAACACUGACACUGAGGCACGAAAGCGUGGGGGGCAAACAGGAUUAGAGACCCGCGUAGUCCCUGUCUCUUAUAC
rnacentral:rRNA from 1 species